GUUAAAGCACCAUGUUCACCCCUGACAGUGACGCCCAAUAGCUGCUCUCUCUCAUUACUGUGUCGCUGCUCCUCUUACCCUGAUUGGUCCUUAUGUUCUUCUCCUCCAGCAGCACAGCAAUGUCACCCUGGAGGCUCUUGUGCUGCACGACACAGCUGUAGCUGUUCCUCUUCCAGUCCUCAGGCUUCACCGUGAGUUUUGAUGUGAUCUGGAAUGUUCCGUCACCAUUUGGCAGGGUCUCCCCCACCUCCACAUCACUGUGCAUGUCCACUCCAUCUUUCUGCCAGGUCACCACGAUCCCUUUGGGGAAGAAGCCGGUUGCGUGGCAGGUGACAGGAGAGGAGGGGUCCUUCUGCAGCAGAGACACCUCA